rnacentral:rRNA from 1 species
UAGAGUUUGAUCAUGGCUCAGGACGAACGCUGGCGGCGUGCUUAACACAUGCAAGUCGAACGAUGAAGCCCAGCUUGCUGGGUGGAAGAGUGGCGAACGGGUGAGUAACACGUGAGUAACCUGCCCUUCACUCUGGGAUAAGCGCUGGAAACGGCGUCUAAUACUGGAUACGACCCUUACAGGCAUCUGUUGGGGGUGGAAAGAUUUAUCGGUGAAGGAUGGGCUCGCGGCCUAUCAGGUAGUUGGUGAGGUAACGGCUCACCAAGCCGACGACGGGUAGCCGGCCUGAGAGGGUGACCGGCCACACUGGGACUGAGACACGGCCCAGACUCCUACGGGAGGCAGCAGUGGGGAAUAUUGCACAAUGGGCGAAAGCCUGAUGCAGCAACGCCGCGUGAGGGAUGACGGCCUUCGGGUUGUAAACCUCUUUUAGUAGGGAAGAAGCGAAAGUGACGGUACCUGCAGAAAAAGCACCGGCUAACUACGUGCCAGCAGCCGCGGUAAU